GAACAUUCUAUCCCCACUGCAGGAACUGGACUAUAAAAUCCAGGUCAGAGAAGAAGUCAGUUUAACAAGGCACACUUCCAAAUAAUUGCAGUGUGCUUCCCCAAUGGCUGGGACUUUGGUUUUGAGUUUGGCCUGUGAUUCCAAUUUGGAGCCUGUCAGAGGAGAGGGAUGGAUAGAGGGAGCUGGGAGUUGGGUGUGUGUGGAAAGGGCAGGUAAGAUGUGACAAUCGCCUGAGGACCAAUUGAGAAAAUGGAGCUGGAAUAAUUGUGUAACACCAGUUACGGCAGAUAAAAGGACCGGGUGCGGACAACUUGGAUGAGCUCAUUUUGAAAGAGAUAUUCCCUGGUGGUGAAUGCUCCUUCCUUAAAGAGGUGAUAUGGCAACUUAAAUCCUGUGUGCGCCAGGGAGGUAUGACAGCUCAUCACUGGCACUGGAGAAAUGAGUGGUUGUCUCUAUUGCCCAGGUCAACUCCACACUGGGAUGUUAUGGAGGAACAAAACCAAUUCUGCAUGGUCGAUCAUCCAGAGUCCUGUCUUAAUUUUGCUUGGCAGUGAAGGGGAUUUGGACCCACCAUGUUUCGACCAGGCAGGCUCUUGUCUGAUGAAGACCUACCUGGCUGAAACAUUAUCUG